rnacentral:tRNA from 1 species
GGGGUGCAGAGCUCAGUGGUAGAGUGCUUGUCUAGCAUGCCAGAGUUCCUGGGUUUCAUCCCCAGCACUACA